GGUGGUAAUGCCGGAUGCUCCAGUUGAUCGCAUGGUCUUCUGGGAAAGCCUUUGCGGCAUGGGAUGGGGUCGCGUCCUAUCAGCUUGAUGGCGGGGUAACGGCCCACCAUGGCUUCGACGGGUAGCCGGCCUGAGAGGGCGACCGGCCACAUUGGGACUGAGAUACGGCCCAGACUCCUACGGGAGGCAGCAGUGGGGAAUAUUGCACAAUGGGCGCAAGCCUGAUGCAGCGACGCCGCGUGAGGGAUGGAGGCCUUCGGGUUGUAAACCUCUUUUGUUAGGGAGCAAGGCAUUUUGUGUUGAGUGUACCUUUCGAAUAAGCACCGGCUAACUACGUGCCAGCAGCCGCGGUAAUACGUAGGGUGCAAGCGUUAUCCGGAAUUAUUGGGCGUAAAGGGCUCGUAGGCGGUUCGUCGCGUCCGGUGUGAAAGUCCAUCGCUUAACGGUGGAUCCGCGCCGGGUACGGGCGGGCUUGAGUGCGGUAGGGGAGACUGGAAUUCCCGGUGUAACGGUGGAAUGUGUAGAUAUCGGGAAAGAACACCA
rnacentral:rRNA from 1 species